AUUGAACGCUGGCGGCAUGCCUAACACAUGCAAGUCGAGCGGAUGAAGGGAGCUUUCUCCUGUUUUCUUCUUCGGACGGGUGUGUAAUUCCUAUGUAUCUCCCUGCUUUUUUUUUAUAACGUCCUUUAACGGGCGCUAAUACCGCAUACGUCCUUAUUUUGAAAUUUUUUGUUCUUCUGACCUCUCGCUAUCUUAUUUGCCUAGGUCGGAUUAGCUAGUUGGUUGGGUAAAGGCCUACAUAGGCGACGAUCCGUAACUGGUCUGAGAGGAUGAUCAGUCACACUGGAAGUGAGACACGGUCCAGAGUACUACGGGAGGCAGCAGUGGGGAAUAGUGGACAAUGGGCGAAAGCAUGAUACAGCAAUGCCGCGUGUGUGAAGAAGGUCUUCGGAUUGUGAAGCACGUUAAGUUGGGAGGAAGGGAAGUAAGUUAAUACAUUGAUGUUUUGACGUUACCAAAAGAAUAAGCAACGGCUAACUUCGUG
rnacentral:rRNA from 1 species